GUGCAAAUCAAUAUAAUUUGAUAGAAAAAAUUUAUUUUUAUUAUUUGUAUUUUUUAUUUAAUAAAAACAAUUUUAUAACAAUUUUAGUAUAGUUUAUAGAAAAAAUUAUUAUUAUUAUAGUUAAUUAGUAUUGUGAAUGAAAAUUGAUAUAGUUUUUAUUAAAAUAUAAGUAAUAUUUAUUUUUUGUACCUUGUGUAUCAGGGUUUAUUAAUAAAAAUUUAUUUAAUUAAGAUUUUCGAAUUUAAGUGAGCUAGUUUAAUUUUAUUUUUAUUAUUUCAUUAAUAUAUUUAAUAUUAAAUUGGCAAUGAAAAGUUAUUCGUACUUAAAGAUAUCUAGUUUUCUUAGAAAUGAAUUUAAUUCAGAUAUUAUGAAUAUAUAUUAUUUAUUUUUUAAUAGUAUAUGUAUAUAAUAUUAAUAAUUAAAGGGAUAAGCUUUUAAUUAAAGUUUUAUAAAUUAUAAAAUUUAAUAGAAAUUGUAAGUUUAGAAAUAUCUAUCAGUUUAGUUUGUUAUAAUUAAUUUAAUUUUCUAUUAUUAUUUCAUAUAAUUUUAAGUUUUUAUAAGAAAUUUUAUUAUAAUUAUUAAUAUAAAGUUAUAAUGAUAAAAUUAGUAUAAUUAAAUAUAAAAAUAAAUUUAAUUAUGAGAUUAACUAAAGGAAUUCGGCAAAUAAUAUUACUCGCCUGUUUAACAAAAACAUGUCCUUUUGAAAAUUAUUUAAGGUCUAGUCUGCCCAAUGAUUUUAUUUAAUGGCCGCAGUAUAUUGACUGUGCAAAGGUAGCGUAAUCAUUAGUUUUUUAAUUGAAAGCUUGUAUGAAAGGCUUGACGAGGUAAUUACUGUCUCUGUUUAAAAUUUUUAGAAUUUAACUUUUGAGUAAAAAGGCUUAAAUUAAAAUAAAAGACGAGAAGACCCUAUAGAUCUUUAUAUUUAAUUGAUUUAAGUUAUUUAAGUAUUAAUAAUUAAUUUAAUUUAAUUAUAUAUUUUAUUGGGGUAAUAUAAAGAUUUAAUAAAUUCUUUAUUUUAUAAACAUUAAUUAAUGAUUUAAUGAUCCGUAUUUAACGAUUAGAAGAUUAAGUUACCUUAGGGAUAACAGCGUAAUGUUUUUUGAGAGUUCAUAUCGACAGAAAAGAUUGCGACCUCGAUGUUGGAUUAAAAAUUAUUUUAGGUGCAGAAGCUUAAAAAUUUGGUCUGUUCGACCAUUAAAUUUUUACAUGAUCUGAGUUCAGACCGGCGUAAGCCAGGUCGGUUUCUAUCUUUAUUUAAUUAGAAUAUUUUAGUACGAAAGGACCAAUUAUUUAAUAUAUUAAUAUUUAUAUUUAUUGAAUAUUAUUAUUACUUUGGCAGAUUAGUGCAAUGAAUUUAGAUUUCAUGUAUGUAA
rnacentral:rRNA from 1 species